rnacentral:rRNA from 1 species
CCUACGGGUGGCAGCAGUGGGGAAUAUUGGACAAUGGGGGAACCCUGAUCCAGCCAUGCCGCGUGUGUGAAGAAGGCCCUCGGGUUGUAAAGCACUUUCAGUGAGGAAGAACGCCUGGUGGUUAAUACCCAUCAGGAAAGACAUCACUCACAGAAGAAGCACCGGCUAACUCCGUGCCAGCAGCCGCGGUAAUACGGAGGGUGCGAGCGUUAAUCGGAAUUACUGGGCGUAAAGCGCGCGUAGGUGGCUUGAUAAGCCGGUUGUGAAAGCCCCGGGCUCAACCUGGGAACGGCAUCCGGAACUGUCAAGCUAGAGUGCAGGAGAGGAAGGUAGAAUUCCCGGUGUAGCGGUGAAAUGCGUAGAGAUCGGGAGGAAUACCAGUGGCGAAGGCGGCCUUCUGGACUGACACUGACACUGAGGUGCGAAAGCGUGGGUAGCAAACAGGAUUAGAUACCCGUGUAGUC